GGGGGCGACUUGGAUUCGACAGGGGUUGCAAAGCAGAACAGGGCAUAUCGAGUACUGGUUACCUCGUAAAUCUAUCCAGAAAAAAAUAACUGCUAACGAUAAUAGUUACGCAUUAGCCGCUUAAUACCGGCUUUCCCUGCACCAUCUUGUUCCUGGGGUGGGCUUUUCGGAGCAGCAGGGUCAUAUACAGGAAACCGCCUUAAGUCGGGUUACUUGGCUUGGGGUUAAACUUAAGGUAACUCAUCCGAUCGCAGCGUGUGCGUCCGCGUCGAAAGGAUUAAAUCAAAUGACUGCACUAAGUAUGUAGAACUGUCUGUAGAGUGCUUCUGGACGCGGGUUCGAAACCCGCCGCCUCCACCA
rnacentral:tmRNA from 1 species